UACAGAGGUCUCAAGCGUUUGUUCGGAUUCAUUGGGCGUAAAGGGUGCGUAGGCGGCGCGGUAAGUCGGAUGUGAAAUCUCGGAGCUUAACUUCGAAACUGCAUUCGAUACUGCCGUGCUUGAGGACUGGAGAGGAGACGUGGAAUUUACGGUGUAGCGGUGAAAUGCGUAGAUAUCGUAAGGAAGACCAGUGGCGAAGGCGGGUCUCUGGA
rnacentral:rRNA from 1 species